rnacentral:lncRNA from 1 species
AAGAAAAGUUAGAAAAUACUUGAUUAGAUUUUAUUUGAAAUCUAAGAUCAGUAGCCUUUUGGUUUAAAUGCAGGGGCUUUCAGUUAUCUUUUGGGUCUCGUCUCAAAUCUGAUGAAAGCUAUGGAAAUUGUCUCCAAAAAGUGUCAUUGAGAUCUAUCAUUUUUGCAUAAUUUUUUUGGGGGGGUCACAGAUUCCCUAAAAUUUGUCGAUGAUCCCCUUCUUUCACGUUUUCCUGGGGCCCAUGGGUCAACUUGGAAAACUUCUGUGUUAUUACAGAUGCCAUUCUCUAAAUAUUGGCUGAACUUUGUUCCUUGGAAUUUCUCGAGGCCUGCAAAUAUAAACAAAUCUUUCAUUAAUAGCAUAACUACAGCAGGGUUUGUGUUUAGGGAAAUGUACAAUUUAGAAGUAGAAAGAUAUGGAAAUACAGGUUGGAUCAGGGCUGUAGUCAGAGCUCACACUUACUUGCUUGAGGAUGCUUGAGGAUGGUUUCCAAGUCUUAUUGCUCAUCAAAACCUCAUCCUGCAGGAAAAGUUUUUUUGCAGGCCCUUCCAGCCCCAGUAAUUGGAUGGGUUUGGCAGCCUGAAAGAGGGGUUCAGUGUUCCUGAUGAAUGCUCCACUUGCACACGGGCGUGAUUUAGCGUGCUGCUGAAUAAACACAACACGGGACGGGAAAGUGAUAACCACCAGCCUCUGCAGAAAGAGCGAGCCUAUAAAUAUGCCG